GGCGACGUAGCUCAGUUGGUGAGAGCGCUCGACUCAUAAUCGAGAGGUCGACGGUUCGAGUCCGUCCGUCGCUA
rnacentral:tRNA from 1 species